GGCAAAGGAGUGUUUCCAGAUGUUUGAAAAAUAUCGUUUUAGGCAGGAUGUUUAGCAAAUGAGUUUUUACUGUGGUUGUGCUUACUUUUGAGGAAGUUCAGAAAUUUCAACUAAAUAGUAGAUGGGAAGCCCAUCUUGAAAUUCAAUUUCAGGUUGCAUUGAAAUUAUUUCUGAAGAUAUAUUAUCUAGGAAGAUCACUUCAGGAUAGAAAAGGUAGAUAUUUUGGUGGAAAACCACUUGGAGGUGAAAUUGUCAAAAGCUUAGCAAGAAGAAAAAAUAUAUAAGUGAAAUAAAGAGAGAAGGCAGAGGUCUGUUUAAUUUUCAAAUUUAAUAAUAGUCUGUGGAUAAUUGCGAGUUGGCAGAUAUAAUGUUUCCAGUCAAGCUUUGCCAUCUAGAGAGAAGUAUUUCGUAUCUACAACAUCUACAAAGCACAAACACUGUCCAGGGACGCUGCAUGGAAUUCAUCUCUUUCCAGGAUUUCAAAGAAUUUGGAAGCAAAUCCUGAAUACCUUCAAGAACUUGGUUUUGCUGCUGGAUGAGGAAUCCUUGAUUAAAGACUUCAGUCAUUACAGCCUGUGAAGAUUAAUGAUCUGCUAGUAUUUUUCCCCUAGCUUCCUUAUAAAGCACUCUCUUGUAUGUUUAACACAAAAUAGUCCAGGGCAUAACAAAAACACAUGAGAUUAGACUUUAUACAGAUAGUCAAACAAAAGGGAAAGAAAAUAAUGUUAAUUGAAAAAAUAUCUAUCAAAUGUUUCAUUAAAAAUCGAAUGGCCUAAUUAUACAAAGGCCUAUCUGUAAUUUUCAAUACCAUAUGACGUUCCUCCAAACUAAAAGGCCUAAUUGUUAUACACCAUGAUAUAGACCUGAUUGCCUUAUACAAGAGGAAAGGGAGAGAGACUUAAACAGCACAUUGGAAUUCAUAUCCCAAUGGGAUCAGAGAAAGUAGAAUAAAUAACCAAUAAUAUAAUUUAGUAGAAUAACUAGAAAAGAUGAGAGAAGUUGUUUAAAAUAUGCAACAAGGAUAAAAAACUGUAAAAUGAAACAUGCAGAAAGGUAUAGUAGAAUAAAUAAACAAUGAUAGGUUAUGUAGAUAAAUAAUCCAUAAAGUCCCAAAUUGGAAGUUUAGUUUAAGAAACAUGCCAGAAGAAAUCAGCCAAGAAUAAAUACAUAGAAAACUUAAAGAAGAAUUAAGUGAUAUGUGGGAAAGAAACAUAAACAAAAAAUCCUAAAUAAUAUUAUAGGAAAAGUAAGACUAAAAAAAUGGAGAGAUGGAAAUACUUGAGGAAACAUUCAAGUAACAUUUCUUAGCAAUAUAGCUAAUCAUUAAAGAAGUCAGAAUGGCCAUCAUCAAAAAGUCUACAAAUAAUAAAUGUUGGAGAAGGUGUGGAGAAAAUGGAACCCUCUUGCACUUUUGGUGGGAAUGUGAAUUGGCACAACAACUA